rnacentral:misc_RNA from 1 species
GAUGAAGAACGCAGUGAAAUGCGAUAAGUAAUGUGAAUUGCAGAAUUCAGUGAACCAUCGAAUCUUUUAACGCACAUUGCGCCCGGCAGUAAUCUGCCGGGCAUGCCUGUCCGAGCGUCAUUUCUGCCCUCGAGCGAGUCCAGCAUCUAGGUGCUGGGCCCGCCCGGCGUUGGGGCACUACGGGAAGCCCUGUGCUGUCCCCCGUAGGCCCCGAAAUGAAGUGGCGGUCCUGCCGCGGCGCCCCCUGCGUAGUAUAACAGCUCGCUUCGGGACCCGGUGGAGGCCUGCCGUCAAACCUUACUCUCUAAGUUUGACCUCGGAUCAGGUAGGGUUACCCGCUGAACUUAAGCAUAUCAAUAAGCGGAGGA